rnacentral:rRNA from 1 species
CGAUGGACAUUGCAAAGAGUGGCGAACGGGUGAGUAACACGUGGGAAACCUACCUCUUAGCAGGGGAUAACAUUUGGAAACAGAUGCUAAUACCGUAUAACAAUGACAACCGCAUGGUUGUUAUUUAAAAGAUGGUUCUGCUAUCACUAAGAGAUGGUCCCGCGGUGCAUUAGCUAGUUGGUAAGGUAAUGGCUUACCAAGGCGAUGAUGCAUAGCCGAGUUGAGAGACUGAUCGGCCACAAUGGGACUGAGACACGGACCAUACUCCUACGGGAGGCAGCAGUAGGGAAUCUUCCACAAAGGGCGAAAGCCUGAUGGAGCAAACGCCGCAUGUGUGAUGAAGGGUUUCGGCUCGUAAAACACUGUUGUAAGAGAAGAAUGACAUUGAGAGUAACUGUUCAAUGUG